rnacentral:rRNA from 1 species
GACGAACGCUGGCGGCGUGCUUCAUACAUGCAAGUCGAACGAGAAACUGACUUCGGUCAGCGUACAGUGGCGGACGGGUGAGUAAUAUGUAGGAAAUCUGCCCUUGAGAGGGGGACAACGGUUGGAAACGACCGCUAAUACCCCAUAUGAGCCCGGUUGAAAUACCGGUCUUGAAAGCUCCGACGCUCAAGGAUGAGCCUGCAUCUGAUUAGCUUGUUGGCGGGGUAAAGGCCCACCAAGGCGACGAUCAGUAGCUGGUUUGAGAGGAUGAUCAGCCACAAUGGGACUGAGACACGGCCCAUACUCCUACGGGAGGCAGCAGUAGGGAAUUUUGCGCAAUGGGCGAAAGCCUGACGCAGCCAUGCCGCGUGAAUGAUGAAGGUCUUAGGAUUGUAAAAUUCUUUCACCGGGGACGAUAAUGACGGUACCCGGAGAAGAAGCCCCGGCUAACUUCGUGCCAGCCGCCGCAGUAAAAC